rnacentral:rRNA from 1 species
AACGAACGCUGGCGGCAUGCCUAACACAUGCAAGUCGAACGAGAAACUCAGCUUCGGUUGAGUGGAGAGUGGCGCACGGUGAGUAACGCGUAGAUAAUCUACCCCUUAGUCUGGGAUAACCUUCCGAAAGGGAGGCUAAUACCGGAUAAAAAAUCAAAUCGAGUGGUUUGGUUUUGAAAGUUCCGAUGCUGGGGGAUGAGUCUGCGUCCCAUUAGCUAGUUGGUGAGGUAACAGCUCACCAAGGCGACGAUGGGUAGCGGGUCUGAGAGGAUAAUCCGCCACACUGGCACUGAGACACGGGCCAG